rnacentral:rRNA from 1 species
UACAGAGGCCUCGAGCGUUAGGCGGAAUCACUGGGCUUAAAGCGUGUGUAGGCGGACUUCUAAGUACCUUGUGAAAUCCCACGGCUCACCCGUGGAACUGCUCGGUAUACUGGUCGUCUUGAGCCUUCUAGGGGCGAGUGGAACAAAUGGUGGAGCGGUGAAAUGCGUAGAUAUCAUUUGGAACGCCAACGGUGAAAACAGCUCGCUGGGGGUGUGCUGACGCUGAGACACGAAAGCCAGGGCAGCGAACGGG